rnacentral:lncRNA from 1 species
ACCAGCCUGAGACCCGCUGGUCCACGUGAAGCAGGGAGCCCUCCCUCACCAGCACACCCAGCGGCCUCCCCUUCCCCUCACUGGACGCGACUGGCUCACAGGAAAUCCGUGUCAGCCGUGCUCAGAAGGUUUCACAGACACUGCAGUUCUCAAGAAUCCAGGUGGUGGCAGCAGAGAGCUGACAGAAACCAGCACUUCCCUACCCGCCCUAAGGAAGGUCCAGAAUAAGAAUAUUGACCUUGCCCAGUUGCAGUGAGCAUUUCUGUAUUGCACCAGUCACAGUGGCGAAUGCAGCUAAGGAGAGGCAGGUAGAUGGAGCCACAGAACCAGAUGUGGUCUGGGCAGUGUUUCAUCCCACCAGGAAUGACAGUGGAUCUGCAGCUCCCAGAGGGCUCUCUGACACCCUAACCUCCAACUGUGAGCAAUCAUCUUUACCUCCUCAUCCAGAGGAAGGAGGCCAGCAGGAUGCAGAGCCUCAGCAGCUUCAGCCCAGGCUCGGGGCUGAAGUGGAGAAGCAUCCAGGCCAGUUCUGGCAUUGGUGGAACCAGCUGGGCUGGGGCUUGCCCCUAGGUAAAAGGAACAGGACCCGUCACUGAGACCACAGGACAGAGAAUACUGAGAAUAUAGACUCAGAGAGGAGACAUGUGAGACACGUUCCUUCUCUCUCUGCCCAAUUUUCCCAUUUUCCUUCCCAGCUACAGCAAUAUGUUUUAUUUGGUUCUCAUGGAGGUAUUCCACUGUUUUUCUUUCAACAUACUGUUGCUGGCUUGAAUCAUAGAGAUAUUAAGGAAGAAAGUCUGAUAAUUAUGAUGUUACAUGUUACU